UUGCCCAUGGGUCGCGGAAGCGGAACCAAGCACGCGGCCAUAGGCUAGUGCGCCACCGGCGGCCGGAUCGAUACCGGCGGCGGGGCGGCGGUAUCCCGCCAUUCCCACGCGCGCGCAGCAGCACGGGCUGCCGCGUCCGGGCGGAAGCGGUCCAAGUCCACGCCGCGUUGGCCCCCUCCGAAUCCCAACCACCCUCAACCGCUCCACUCGGCCGCCGCGGGUGCCAUGAAGAAGCUGUUCUGCUUCUGCGGCGGCACAGGCAGAGCGGCGAGGAGGCCGGAGAGGGCGUCGAUGGCUGACUGGUGCGUGUUCUGCCCCAUCGCCCGCCGGGACCCCGCUUGCGACACCGUCCUCCUCUACUCCGUUCUGAUGACAGGGUCGUCGCGUUCAGGGACAUCAACCCGUCGGCGUUCAGGCACUAUCUUGUCAUACCCAUUGAGCAUAUACCUACUGUCAAUGAUCUCCGGAGAAACACAGAAGAUCACCAGUUAGUUAGUCACAUGGUGGCAGUAGGAAGAGAUUUACUCAAUCGAGAUGCUCCCAAUUCAGAGGAACACAGAUUUGGUUUUCACCAGCCGCCAUUUAAUAGUGUAGAUCACCUUCAUCUUCACUGCUUGGCAUUGCCAUUUAUGCCCAGCUGGAGGCAAGUAAAAUAUACACCUCUUGGUCCCCUUGGAGGUUUUAUUGAAGCUGAGAGUUUAUUGGAAAGAAUACGCCCAUAGUCGACAGUUAUCACAAAUACCGGUACAAGCUAUUCUCGCAUAACUUUUUUAUGGGUGCUUAACUUUUAUUGUAUUGUCAUUUGUACGUGAUCCACUGUAAACUCAACAUAUGGUCUGAAAUUGUACCGUAAAAUAAUAACUCCUGCCCUUUCUGGAAGUUGAGCUGCGUUGAAUUGAUAGGCGCCGCUGUAUAAGUUUCCUUUUAGGGCGAACAGCCUUUCCUUAUAAACAAAGGAAUAAUUACCACCGAUAGCCUUUUUAUGGCAUGUUGAUCAUCGGUGGAACAUUUAGGCAGGUUCCAAUCAUGGUAUGAUAUUUUUCUCGUUAGCUUUCGCUGUUGCAAUUAAUCAUGGGGUUCAUUAAGAAAUGUGUUAUAUGGACU